AAAACAACUUUCAGUGACUGCUAUUUCUGGCUUUUCUUCUGACAGGUUAAAAGAUUAAGAGUUUCUCUAAGCACGGCUACCCUUUAAAAGUCACAUUUUCCCCCUUUUUCCAGUCACUCUCUGAAAGAGAACAAAGUAAUUUUCUGAAGGGAAGCUGCAGAAUAUGGAAAACAUAUAUUGGAGCUACAUGGACGUUUACUAUGUGAAACAAAGAUAUACAUCACUGUAUACUGCAAAAGGCAUGCAGUCUAAUGUUGGAUAAUCUAGAAAAAGUAAGACAAUUAUAACACAAUGGGAUAAGUGUUAAGAUGGAGGGAAGUAUAGAUGUUUGGGAACACAUAGGAGAAAUAAUUAAUACAGUGGGUUACCAAAAUUAAGGAUGUUUUCCUAAAGAAGAUAACUCUUGUCCUGAGCCUUAACAAAUGAGUUGGAGCUAACUAGGCAGAGGAGGUUGUUGACAGAUGCGGUAUGAUGGUGCCAAGGAUUUCAAUUAAGUCCAUUUGAGGAGCCAUUUAUAACAUAUUCUUUAUAUCAUGAACUCAAUACUUUGAAAUA
rnacentral:sRNA from 1 species